AUGAUUCCACCAAUAGGAAAGUGGACUGUGUCAAGUCUGAAGCAGGCGCUGACCAAAUCCGAUGUCCAGCCUUCAAGUAAGUUAAACAAAGCAGAAUUAUAUGACUUGUACACAAAUAUGCAUCUAACUAACCUCUCUCCCAAGUCCACCCCAACCCCAAAGAAAGGCAAAAGGCAACACAAAACUUCAGACAAGCCUGGGCCAUGCCCCAGAUCCCGCCGCUGCAAGGGUGCAGCCGACACAUGCCGCAGCUCAGCCUCGCACCGCGGCUUCAACUUCAACAACACCUGGGGCUGUAGCUCAAGCAAGCACUUGGCCGUCUCCGCUGCCAAUUACAGCCCAGCCGCAUGCCACUUUCAGCUUAGACCUCGCAGCCCAAGCAAGCGUUUGGCCACACUGGCCGUCACACACAGCCCUGCCACCCGCCACCUCCAGCUCUGGACCCACAGCCCAAGCAAGUGCUUGGCCGCACUAGCCCUUCGAACACGGCCCUGUCGUCUGCCACCUUCAGUUCGGGGCCUGCAGCUCAAGCAAGCGCUUGGCCUCACUGGCCGUCACACACAACCCCGCCGCCCACCCCUUUCAGCUCAGAGCCCGCGGCCCAAGCAACCGUUUGGCCGCACUGGCCAUCAAACACGGCCCUGUUGCCUGCCACCUUCAGUUUGGGGCCCGCAGCUCAAGCAAACACUUGGCCGCACUGGCCAACACACACAUUUCGUCGAAUUGAUUAAAAUUGUGGGUCGAGGAGCCUGGCUCACAGAAAUAGACAUCACUUCUGCCUUCAAAGUAAUGCCUAUUCACCCGGACUCAUGGCAUUUGUUCUAUUUUUGGCUCAGGAAAUUCAAUUUCGCCAUCCGUUUAACCUUUAGAUGCAAAAGCAGCCCCAACAUUUUCGACAUGUUAUCAGAAGCCGUUUGGUGCAUUUUGUCCAAUAAUUAUGCAAUUCCCCACCUUAUUCACCUCUUAAACCACUUUCUGGUCAUUUCACCUCCCGACGUAAUCCCAGCUGCCCACAUCCUCACAGUCCAAAAAAAUUUUUCCGAGCUUGGGAUCCCCAUCGCUCAGGAAAAAAACACUGGUCCCGCUACAUUCAUCGAGUUCCUCAGUCUCAACUUCAGUUAA
ensembl:lncRNA